rnacentral:rRNA from 1 species
AUUGAACGCUGGCGGCAGGCCUAACACAUGCAAGUCGAGCGGUAACAGAUUGAUAGCUUGCUAUCAAUGCUGACGAGCGGCGGACGGGUGAGUAAUGCCUGGGAAUAUACCCUGAUGUGGGGGAUAACUAUUGGAAACGAUAGCUAAUACCGCAUAAUCUCUUCGGAGCAAAGAGGGGGACCUUCGGGCCUCUCGCGUCAGGAUUAGCCCAGGUGGGAUUAGCUAGUUGGUGGGGUAAUGGCUCACCAAGGCGACGAUCCCUAGCUGGUCUGAGAGGAUGAUCAGCCACACUGGAACUGAGACACGGUCCAGACUCCUACGGGAGGCAGCAGUGGGGAAUAUUGCACAAUGGGGGAAACCCUGAUGCAGCCAUGCCGCGUGUAUGAAGAAGGCCUUCGGGUUGUAAAGUACUUUCAGUUGUGAGGAAGGCGUUGGAGUUAAUAGCUUUAGCGUUUGGCGUUAGCAACAGAAGAAGCACCGGCUAACUCCGUG